GUGUCAGCCGCCGCGGUAAUACGUAGGUGGCAAGCGUUGUCCGGAAUUAUUGGGCGUAAAGCGCGCGCAGGCGGUCCUUUAAGUCUGAUGUGAAAGCCCACGGCUCAACCGUGGAGGGUCAUUGGAAACUGGGGGACUUGAGUACAGAAGAGAAGAGUGGAAUUCCACGUGUAGCGGUGAAAUGCGUAGAGAUGUGGAGGAACACCAGUGGCGAAGGCGACUCUUUGGUCUGUAACUGACGCUGAGGCGCGAAAGCGUGGGGAGCAAACAGGAUUAGAAACCCCCGUAGUCC
rnacentral:rRNA from 1 species